CGAAAUGUUUGCAAAAUCCUAAACAUUCAAAGGAGUCUCUGUGCCCCAUAUCACCCACAGACAAAUGGGUUGGUAGAAAGGAUGAAUGGGACCAUACAGAGGUAUAAUGUUAUUUACGCAUUUCAUAUGUUUAUAUUUUUAAUUUGGUUUUCCUUCAUAUCCCAAUAACUGCUUUGUUAUUUAAUUUUGUAGAGCACUUUCCAAGUUGGUAAAUGAAAAGCCAGAGGAAUGGGACAAACAUUUGGAUGCUGUCAUAUUUGGCCUGAGAACCAAGCCCCAUAUGACCACUAAGUACUCACCCUUUUUUUUAAUGUUUGAUAGAGAGGCGAGGUACCCUACUCAAAUCCCAGAUGAAUACAGAGUAAGUUAUUUUAAAAAACAUUGUUGGAUUAAAUACAUAAGACUUUAAAUUUCUUUUCUUCUUUUUUUUUUUAGAUUUUCAUAUAAUAACACAUCCCUUUUUCUACAUCUUACAGGUGGACAGCAGUGUGGAGGACAUUUUGUCUGUUGAAGAGGCAACAGAAGAAAUUCUUAAGCUGGAUGAAGUCCUUCAGAAUGCUAUUUCCAAUAGCAAAAAAACACAGUCAACAUAUCAAAACAAAAAUAAAGGCAGACCUAGUCCGAGUUUUACAGUCGGCAUGAAAGUGUGGAGGAUGAACACGAGGAGCCAGCAGAGGAAAGGGGGCAAGUUAGAUCGAAAUUACCUCGGCCCAUACACAAUUGCUGCGAUAGAUGGAAAAAGUGUGGAUCUUUUGGACAGCAAAGGUGUGACAAUACCAAAAAUUAACAUUGAUCAUUUAAUGGUGUUCACAGAGGAACAGCCAAGAAUUCCACAUAAGUUGUCUAAUGCUUCUUCUUCUGAGCCAUCCACCACUACCACAUCCACAGUCGGGCCCCCAACCACCACGUCCACCUGUGAAACAUCCACCACCACGUCAGCCUCUAAACCAUCCACCACCACGUCCACCUCUGAAACAUCCACCAUCACGUCAACCCAUGAACCAUCCACCACCACGUCCACCUGUGAAACAUCCACCACCACAUCAGCCUCUGAACCAUCCACCACCACAUCAGCCUCUGAACCAUCCACCACCACGUCAACCUCUGAAACUUCCACCACCAUGUCCACACCUGGGUCAGACACCAAUGCAUUGUCCAGUGCUGCUCUGGGCAUGAUGCAUGCCUCCACUGCCUCUGUAAAAUCCACAGUAGACCCCUCGAUCAUCAAGAAUGUGACAGAUGCGUCGGAGGGAAAUAAGACGUAUGUCCUCCUGUCAAAAAUCGGACCAUACAAGAUAUUCUUUAAUGACAUUUACAAUACAGCUCCCUAAAGGGAACUAGAAAGUGAGGUAAAGUGACAUUUCUUU
rnacentral:lncRNA from 1 species